rnacentral:lncRNA from 1 species
UUUAUAUUUGGGGAUAACUAACAAAUCUUAAGAAGGAAGCAAGCCUUUAUUUCUUUUUCUUCCGGUGAGUUCGUCGACCCUCUUUCACUCUUUCGUUAAUCUUAAUUUUUAUUUUGUUUCAAGCAUGAAAGGGACGAGCCACCAUUUCUGAGAAUAUGUUAGCGAACUCUUCUAGGUAAGAAUCACUUAAUCAAGCUUCCUCUGUAUUCAAAAUUGAAGAAGCUUUCCUACAUCAUUCCUUAUUAUUUUUCGAAAAUAGGGGUAUUGGGAGGGGAGUCAGUUUGAUCUUGAAUUAUGUUAAUUCUUAUGUGUUUAAGCUAGUUUUUUAUUAGAAUUAAGUAGUAUGAUGGAAGAAAUCAAAAUCCUACCCUAAAGCCCCAAAUUUUCAAUCCCUCCCAUGAACCCUAGAAUCUAUUUCCUACAUGUUUGCAUCAAUUGGCUAUGUAUAUACGUUUAUAUACAUUAAGAUGAUGUAUUUGAGUUGGUAUAGCUUUUAUUUGAUAAAAAUAUGAGUAUAUGUUGAGCUAAUACGAAUAAGGUAUUGCUGUUAGUUUUGCUGUACAGGACAGUACCUUGUAAGGUAUUUUCGGGAGUGUUCCCGUGGUCCAAAUGACUUGAAAUUUUUAUAGUAAUACUUCAUUAUAAGUAGUAGAUCUCUGAAAAAUUUCACAGAUCCGCCGUCUGUAUUUGUAUGAUUAUGGCUGGCAGAUUCUGUCUUUCUUGAUAUACUAGUACGCGCGCCCGUGCGAUGCACGGUUAACAUCAAAAUUAAAUGAUAUUUAAAAUAAAUAAAUAUAAUUAAAAUAUAAGUAAAUGUAAAUCAUUUGUUUAAAAGUGAAAUAAUUCACAUCAAUUAUUUAAUAAAAAAUAUGAAUAUGAAAGCAUAUGAAUUUUUAAUUUUCAAUAUUUGAAAUAUUUAAUUUUAAUUAAUAAUGAGUACAAAUAUGUAAAUUUAUCCGUUUAAAUACAAAUUUUAUAAAUAAAGUUUCCAAAAAAUUGAUUUUUCAAAAAGAGAUAGGAUUUAUUUUCAUAAAUAACAAUUGCCAAUUAAUUACGUAAAUUAAAGAACUUUAAAUUGAGCUAAUAUAAUAAAAAUAAAACAAAAUUACUAUAAAAAAGAAAAUAAAACAAAAUUACUAUAAAAAAAGAAUAAAGAUAAAAAGUCGUAACAUUUUAUUGAAAGAAAGAAAAAAGAAGAGUGGAGAGAGGAGAGAUGAGAGAAAAAAAAUAGAUUUUUAUGAUUUGAAACGAUUUUAACUUUUUCGAGUUAAUUUUUUAUAUACAUAAAAUUUACAUCAAAUUAAAGAUCUUGUCAUGAUCUUUAGUUUAAGAUCCAUAUUGAAUAUUUUUUAUUAAUCGAAUUUGAUGAUUUUUAGAAAAGAACAAAAAAAAGGAGAAGUGAGAGAAAAAUUCAUGGAAAUCAUAUUUAAUCAAAUACUAAUAUGGAUGUUAAAAUGGGUGAGAGAACGUGUAGAUGAGGGAGAUAGGAGAGAGAAAAUGUGAUAAAAUAGGUGAUAGAUGAGAGAGAAAAAUUGGCGCCAAAAAAGAGCCGUUAGAAACUGAUGUUUCAUAUAUAUAUAGAUUUUCUUAUACACUUGAGAUAUUGCAUUUUUGUAAAUUUUCAUUAAAAAUAGACUUUAAGAGCUUUCUAAAAAGGUAAAUCAUGUAUUUUUCUUUGAAGAGGUUGAUUUUAUAUGAUAUUUGAAAGUUGAGAUUCAUAUAUGAUUACAUAUUUGAAGUUACUACUUGGGAUAGUUGAGUAGAACUAUGCUUAAGUCAUUGGUCAAUUCUUGAAUUGAUGGUUUAGUUAUUAAUUGUAAGCUAAUCUAUAUAGAAUGGAUUAGUUUGCUCUUUUCAACUUGAGAUAUCCCAAGAGAUAUGAUGUUACUGUUUGCUUUUAGUUAGUUAAGUCCAUAAAAGUAGAAUACUCAGAUUAGAGGAUACAACUUUCAAGCGAUAGAAGUUUCAUUCAAGAUUUAUUUCCUAUUUACUCACUUAUUAUCAAUCUUACCUGGGAACCUCAUUAUAAUGAAGGUUCGAGUGGCAGUGUAGAAUGAACAAGCAAAGACUUCUAUUUCAUUAAGCGUAUCAGGUGGGCUUACUAACUCAAGAAGUAAAGAUGCAUACUUUAUUAUAUAAAGUUUGAGUGUAUACGUUUAUUUUCCAAUUAUUGACUUGCCAAUAUUUGAAAUUUGUAUGUGCCACGACCGGUCCUAAUUAAGGAUAAUUAAGCCGGGAAAUCGUGGCUAAUGGAGGGAGAUUAGAAGCGGGGUAGAAAGGGGAAUAAUCAAACAAGAAAGGAUCGUAUUUCAUCAUUGUUAACAACAUGGAUAUCUAUAAUAUAACAGAGUUUUUGUCGUAUAGACUCAAAUAACUAACAAGUUCGGAUAACUCCGACUUAUCCAAAAUAACAUAAAACUUCUGAGUACGCAGCGGAAUAAGGUUCUGAUUACAUGUAUGAAGACAUGUAACCCUAGAGUUCAUUAAUACAUAAUAAGACAAAAGAGUCCCGCUCGUCACUUCAUCACCAUCGGCAGCUGCUCAACCUGCACAUUUAGAAAUAUAUGCAGGGCUGAGUACAAAAGUACUCAGUGGACACGUAUGCCUAAUUAUAAAAAUACAUGCUUCAAAACUGUAAAUUGUCAUGCCAUCAUAAACAGUACAGCAAGGGAGUUUUUCGCUAAAAAGGCCCAAGCUUACUAAAUUCAUUUGUGAUUCUUAAAGUUCGUCUGCAGACUAAGUUCUCUUGUAAUCUAUCAUAUCUGGAACUGUGUGCCGGAGAGGUGGCCACCUCUCACGGACACUUGACCGGCCAACCCGCUAGAUGACUCACGGUCACUGGUGUACACUAGCCCUGGCAGGAUAGCUAUCAACUGCUCAAGACCCGAAUUCGAUUACAUGAUAAAAGUCACAUCAGAUAGAUAUCAUACUGAAAUUUAAACAUUUUAUGGCAAGACAAUAUUUAGAAAUAACUUCAAUUAAUUUAGUCAUGAAAUAACUUGCUUGAACGUAACAUUUAAACUCAUUUGAUAUAUAUGAAAGUAAUGCCACCUGAUAGAAAUUUCUGUGGUACAGUAGCUCCUUGACUGAUUAUUAAUCUCGUGCUUGACCUUUAUUACGAGAAUAUAAAUAAGAUAUUGCUCGAGUAAAAUCCUCAAUUAAUGAGAAUGCGUAAUUUAACUAUGCAUGACUCUUAUGCAUGAUUUAUUAUUCUGAGAUAAUAAUCAGGGAAUUUCUAUUAUUAAUCCUACUAUCGGAUCAAAUAAAUACAAUAAGGUUUCGUCUCAUGAGGUCGGAUAAUUAACUAAAAUAAUCCGUUCUCUUCGGGUGUUCUAAUCCGUCAAUUAAAUAAACCCCGUUCCUCGUAGUCAAUAGAAAAUAAAUAAACUUCAACUUAUUCGCUUUAUAACCUCAUAAUUAAUCGGGCUUAAUAAAUAGGAACAAGUAAUGUUAUAAGAUUAAAUAAUUAAAAGGCUCAACAUAAGGCAGCCUAAUAAUCACAAUCAAACAUCAUCAAAACAUGCUCUGCUUUUACACUGACUCAACUUCAAAAUUUAAUCUGUUCUGACUCCGACAUCUCCUGGACUCGAGACUCAUACCGAAAGAAAGAUCUUCGAGUCUAGUUUCAUAUAAAAAAAAAUAGAGUCGAAAACUCCAAGUGGUUUGAGAGAUAUGACGUUUUUACCACGAUCUACCAUGUUCGGCAGUUUUGAACAAUCGAAAACUUGUAUUUUUGAAAAAUAGUAAACGUUGUCAAACUGGGCUCAACUUUGGUGGAUAUCUAAAUAACACAAUAAGGUUAAUACCAUAAAAAUUUGGAAAGCUAGAUCACCCAGGAAGCUACUGAAAUAAAUGACUCUUUUCUCUGUUCUCUGAAAUUCUCAGUAGUAAUGUGCAGUUUAGGUUUUGCAUUUUAAAGAAGUAUCAUACGAAGUUGGAAUGGCUUGAAAUUUUACCAGGGUACUCAAGACUCAUGUAGGGACUUGCUAUAAAAUUUUCAAAGCUGUUAGACAUCGACAAACCGUCGAUCACAGUAGGUCAGUAGGCCUACGAAAUUCAUAUUUAUAAGUCCUUAAAAAUAAUUUAUAUAAAUCAAGAAAUAAUAGUUUAAUCCCAAAAAUAUUCAUUAAAAGUCCAUCCUAAUUUAAAUAAAGAACGGACCUCAUUUAAAAUAAAUAGUCCCAAACUUGUUACGCACAUAUACUAAAUCUUUCACGAAACAUCCUUUAAAAUAAACUUUGAUACAUAGAAAAUAAUUCAACAACUUGAGCUCUUAAGGGGUUGUUUUACAACAGACACCAAAUCUACCUCGGAUCUCCAAAUGAGGCUCCAAAAGACAUUCUGGAAACUAGACAUUUCAAGGAUCAUUCUCCAAUUUGAAUCGAAUGAAAAACAAUUCAAACGAGCAAGAUAUGCCUCUCAAAGAUGGGUAUUUAACAAGCAAAAAUCUGUAAAUUUCAUAUUUCCAGAUUACAACCAAGUCAGUGGGCUUUCUUUAAAAAUUACAUAUCUCCCUUUACAAAACUCCACUGGGAACCCCAAAGGUCAAUCUGGAAACUAGGGAGAGAUCAUAACACUCUCCAGUUGGAUUUACUCUAAGAACCUUCAUGGUUUAGAAGAUAUGACUAUCUAAAGUUCAGUGCACAAAAAGAGUUCAAGUUUGGCAGAUUCAGAACAUAAAUCGGAAAAACCACUUUAAGCUUCACCAAAAAUUCUAAAACUGAACAAGUAAGUUCCCAACAUGUCAGUGAAUAUUCAGUAGAAAGAUAGGCUUGAGAAUCAAAUAUUUAAGUCGGCCUUUUCCACCUCAAAGUCGUAGGUUUGUAAAUCUACUGGAUGGUACAUGGAAUAAGAACUAGAUUUCAAGAAUUAUACCGGUUGUUUCCCUUAACUCAAAAAUGGUAGAGGCCGAUGUCAAAAGAAAGAUACGGGAGUCUAGAGUGACUAUAUUCAAGUUUCAAAGGUUUUCACCGAUUGAAACUUACUUAUGAUCUCCCAAAGAUUAGUUUACCAAAAAUAGUAUUCCAGAUGGGCAGUGAUGUUUACUAAAUUACUAUAAAUAAAUACAUAGCGAGCUCUAAAUAUUACUUGAAAUUUUACCUAAAAUAAUAGAAAAUGUAUGAAAGAUGAUACACAAUUAAUUUGGGAAUUUUUGGGAACCAUUUGGAUGGCUGGAAUCGCCUUGCAAAACACUGCCGGAGCAGUGUGCUUAUGGCAGAUUCGCUGCCUUACCUCAUGCACGGUUUUUCACCCAAUAAACUCUAGCUUCGAGUGUUGGGGGUACUACUGGACUGGAGCAGCUUGAAAUCUUGGCAAAGUAGUUAAGCCAAGUCUUCCUUCUCUUUGUGAUUGCUGGUGCGAAAAUGGAAGGAAUGGGUGAAGUGUUGGAGUUGUGGGGAGCAAAGGUAGUGGAGAUGGUGGGGAGCAUAGGGUAGUGGAGUUGAUGGAGUGGGGAACAAAAUUAAUGGAAAGAAAAAGAGAAGAAAAAGAAAGGAAAAAAAAAUAGUAGAGGAGAAUUAUUGAUGUAUUUUCUCUGUCUCGGUGAUUCUGUAACCGUAAGAUGGAUCGUGUGCUCGUAUAUGCUUGAUACUGUUUAUUUAAAUAAAUCUCGUAUUUCGACAUGUGAUUUCUCGCUUAAAUCGAUAAAUUAUAAAAUGAAUCUAAAUUAAAUCCGUAGAUUGUGACACCCCGAAUAUUUAGAUUUAUUAUAUAAGUUUAAUUAUUAGUAUUUUCUUGUUAUAGCUUAUUAUUAUUUUUAGAUAAUUACGUGAUAUAUAUAGAUAUGUAGCAUUAAAAUUGAUCAAGAUUAUUAUUAUUAUUAUUAUUAUUAUUAUUAUUAUUAUUAUUAUUAUUAUUAUUAUUAUUAUUAUUAUUAUUAUUAUUUGUUUCCUAUUAGAAUUAGAACUCUUUAAAAACUAGUAUAAAUAUGAGAUCAAUUUUCAAACCCUAAGACACACCCGUAGAACCCGAAGCAGCCAUCAAUUAUAGGUACAUUCUUCUCUUUUUUUAUUCUUUUACGCAAGGUUUUACGAAAAUUUCUCUAAAUAAUAAGCCUUCAAAUUUUAGUAGUUUUUACACAAGUUUUAGGAAUCGGUACUUUUCAAUUAUUUCUUUUAAGUUUCAAUUAGUCUGUUUUGGUAUAUAUAUUUGAAUAGUUAGAUAGUUGACUUUUAUUGGAAAUUGUACAUCGAAGGUGGUAGUAUGCCAAGUCUUAUUUCUUUCGUUACAUCAUUGAUUAAGUUUCAAAACAUUAAAUGAGUUUAAAUUAAAUAGUAUCAUUUCAUGAUUGUUUUAUUACUUUAAAUUCUUAAAGUUUCACACUGAAGUUAUUUUUAUAAACGAUUUUUUCAUCUCAUCUUUAGAUAGAAAAGUUCUUUUACAUAUUUAUUUUAGUAUACAGUUAGUUUGACUCCAAAAAAAUUUUAUUUUCCUAUAUUCAAGAAUUCAUAUAUAUGUACACACAUAUAUAAAUAUAUAUAUGCACGAUUAAUUUAUUAUAGUAUAUAUAUGAUUAUAUAGGAUUUGAUAUAGGAUGUUAGUUUAAAUUAUUGUAGGAUUUUUAUUAAGCGUUGUAUUUAUUGAAUUAGGUGCGGUACGAUUAAGAUCUUCAUUCCGGAUUUUUAGUCUCGACAUUAAGGUGAGGGAUUAUAUGCUGGUUGUUAUAUUCAUGUAUGUUUGAAUGUGCUUUUAGUUCAUAUUUGAUUAUGCUUGCUCAGAUACAUGUCUAGAUACAUGUUCAGAAUAUCAUGUUCAAGUACAUGAUCAGAAACGCAAAAAUAUCAUGUUCAAGUACAUGAUCAGAACGCAGAAUAUCAUGUUCAAGUACAUGAUCAGAACGCAGAAUAUCAUGUUCAAGUACAUGAUCAGAAAAUUUAGAAACACUCAGAAUUCAGUAUAUGUGUAUGAUGACAAUGUGAAUUAUUUGCAUGUUUAAGUGUAUGUGAAUAUGUGCAUGAUUCUUCACUGAGUAUAUAUAUUUUUCAAUAUGCUCAUCCCUUAUCUUUUCAGUUUUGCUAGUUUUGGAGUCGAGGUGGCCAUGGAAGUCGAGAAUGACUAGAGAUUUUGUAUUUCCAUAGAAAUUUAAGUUGAACAUGUUACUUUUUAGUUUAUCAUUUUAUUUCAUGUUACUACUUUAGUUUUGGCAAGUUGAUUUUAAAUUGGUUAAACUUUUAUAAUUCAAGAAUUUUAUUUAACUAUUAGUUCUUCAAGGUUUUUAGUAUUGAAAAGUUUAAGAAAAUUGGGGUGUUACAUAGUGGUAUCAGAGCGGGUCUACGUUCCUGUAGACUCGUGUUUUAAAAGAAAAUUUGCUUUCAAAAGAUUAAAUGAUCUUAGUCAUUCGAAACUCAUGUGCUGCAUCGACUUCAGGUAUGUGUUUUAAUUGUUCAAGUUUAUGGCAGUUAUGAUGUGUUACAUGACAUUUUUUUUUAUGAUGCUUUUAUGUUCAAGUAUUACUACGUUUAGAUCCAAUAAAAAAAAAGUUGGAAUUCUGAAAUUAUUUUGACGACACAAAUGAAGCUUGAUUAGAAAUUUCGAGGACAAAAUUAUUUUAAGUGGGAUAGGUUGUUACACCCCUAAUAUUUAGAUUUAUUAUAUAGGUUGAAUUAUUAGUAUUUUCUUUUAUAGCUUAUUUUUUUUAGAUAAUUACAUGAUACAAAUAGAUAUGCACCAUUAAUUUUUUUGUCUAGACUAUUAUUAUUAUUAUUAUUAUUAUUAUUAUUAUUAUUAUUAUUAUUAUUAUUAUUAUUAUUAGAACUAGAACUCUUUUAUUAUAUUUAUUUUUUAUCUUAUUAGGAGAUAUACACAGGAUACAAUCUUUAUAUUUAUCAAACUCUUUCUAAACUAGUAUAAAUAGAGACACGAUUUUACCCUAAGAAGACAGACGCAGAACUCUAAGCCAAUAUUGAGAAUCGGUACCUUCCUCUCACUUAUUUUGUUUUACGCAAGGUUUUGUUAAAUUAACUUAGCCCACGUUUGGUUGGGUGUUUUUAGAGGUAGGAAAGGGAAUCAAGUAAUUGAAUCCAUUACUUGUUGUUUGGUUUGAGUAAUGGGAUAAUCAUUACCCUUACUUGAGGGUAUUCCAAUCACCCAAUUUGUCGCCCCUUAAAAUAGAGGGAAAACAAAAGAAAGGGAAUCCCUUACUAAUGAUUCAUUUCCAUUGUUAAACCAAACACUCAAUAAAAGUAAUGGUUAUUGUUACCAUUCCACUCCUUUAUUUGAUUCCAUUCCCUUUCCAUUCCUCUACUUGAACCAAACGAGCACUUAUUUGUUUCAAACUGUAAGUGUUCAAUUUUUUUAGUAGUUGUUAAUACUUAAUUUUUUUACACUCAUGAAAAUCGACGCUACAUCAAUACUCUUUCAACUUUCUUUCUUUUAAGUUUCAAUUAGUGGAUUAUGGCAAUCAAGUUUUUAAUCUGUUUUCAUAAAUUCGAAUAACUUAUAGUUAGACUUCUAUUAAAAAUUUUAUAUAUAAUAUUUUUUUAACCACAUCAAAAGUGGUGGCUGCCGAAUUUUUAGUAGUUAACUAAGUUUUUGAGAUUUAAUUACUUUGGAUUAAAACUUUAACAUGUUUAUUGCAUUGUUUUUAAAGCAAAAUAUUAUUUUAAUAAAGAUAUUUAGUUCCUAAAAGUUUUCGAUUACAGAAUCUUAUAUAUUUUUUUCGUAUGCUUAAGAAUAUAUAUACAUAUAUAUAUAUAUAUAUAUAUAUAUAUAANAUACGAACACACUACUACUAUAUAUAUAUAUAUAUAUAUAUAUAUAUAUAUAUAUAUAGGGGGGCCGCUCCAAUGAGACCCCCUAAUUUUAGUGAGAUCUAGGACACGAUCUGAUGCGUUUAUUUUAUCAAUCCUAUGGCUGAUAUUGUAUCUGGAGGGUGAUUUUUUCGCAGGGUUCGAAUCCUGGAGGGAGCAGAAUAUUUUAAAUUUUGUUAUUCAUCAGAAUAUAAUGCAUUGUUCAUCAGUAUAUACGGCCAUGUUCAUCAGUAUAUAUGUCUUAUUCAUUACCAAUUUUUAAAUUUAAUUUUCAUCAGUAUAUAUAUCUUGUUUAUUAGAUAUACGUUUUGUUCAUUAGUAUUAUAUGUCUUAUUCAUUGUACUCAUGUUACACAAAAAUAUGGGGUCUCACUGGAGCGCGCCCCUAAGUAUAUAUAUAUAUAUAUAUAUAUAUAUAUAUAUAUAUAUAUAUAUAAAUGCGAUUAGAUCAGUUGUAUAUUUGAACAUAUAUAUUAGAUAUAACUAAUUUUAAGCUUUGAUAUAGGAGUUUAGUUUAAGUUAUUGUAGGAUCUAUAUUAAAGCAUUUUAUUCAUUGAAUUAGGUGCGGUGCGAUUAAGUCCCUCAUUCCGAAUUUGAUUUAUUAGCUUCGUCGUUAAGGUGAGGGAUUAUAUGCUUGUCGUUAUAUUCAUGUAUGUUUGAAUGUGCUUUUAGUUCAUGUUUGAUUAUACUUGCUCAGAUACAUGUCUAGAUACAUGUUCAGAAUAUCAUGUUCAAGUACAUGAUCAGAAACGCAAAAUAUCAUGUUCAAGUACAUGAUCAGAAACGCAGAAUAUCAUGUUCAAGUACAUGAUCAAAAACUCAGAAUAUCAUGUUCAAGUACAUGAUCAGAAAUUCAGAAACACUCAGAAUUCAUAAUAUGUGUAUGACAAUGUGUUUUAUUUGCAUGAUUAAGCAUAUGUGAAUAUGUGCAUGUUUCCUGACUGAGUAUAUUUUCAAUAUGCUCACCUCUUAUCUUCUCAGUUUUGCAGUUCUGGAGUCGAGGUGGCCAUGGAAGUCGAGAAUGACUAGAGAUUUAGUAUUUCCAUAGAAAUUUAAGUUGAACAUGUUACUUUUUAGUUUAUCAUUUUAUUUCAUGUUACUACUUUAGUUUUGACAAGUUGAUUUUAAAUUGUUUUAAACUUUUAUAAUUCAAGAAAUUUUAUUUUAACUAUUAGUUCUUCAAGGUUUUUAGAUUGAAAAGUUUAAGAAAAUUGGGGUGUUACAUAGUGGUAUCAGAGCGGGUUUACGUUCCUGUAGACUCGUGUUUUAAAAGAAAAUUUGCUUCAAAAGAUUAAAUGAUCUUAGUCAUUCGUAGGGCUGGGAAUUUCGGGAUCGGGUUAUCGGGUACCCGAUACCCGACCCGAAAAAAUCGGGUAUAGGGUACCCGAUACCCGAUUUUUUCGGGAUCGGGUACGGGAUCGGGUAUUUAGGGGUCGAAAUAAUCGGGUAUCGGAUAUACCCGAUCGGGUAUCGGGUAUACCCGAAUUACCCGAUAUUUUUAAUUAAUAAAUUUUAAACUAUUUAAUUAAAUUAAAUAUGAAAUGUAAAUAAUCGGCCCCCUGUACUGUUUUGUUUCCCAAAAUCAAUUCAUCCCUCCCAAUUCAGCCCGCCGGCCCUAACCUCUCGGCUCUCACUCCAGAGUCCAGCCCCGGCCAAGAGGCGGCGUUCGUCGUCGAAUUAUUCGAGGGAGGAGAAGUAGGGUGACCGAAUCUGUGGUUUUAUUUGAGAGAUCUGAACAGGGGAGAGGAGAGGAUGAGCGAAGGCCUGGGCCGACGGCGGCGGUAAUUUGAGCUUUGUUCUUGCUGGGAUUCGAGCAGCGGCGGAUCUUGGAAGGCUGAUUCGCCGGCUCCUAACAGUGGUGGAGGCGGCGAACUCGGACAACGAAGAUGGAUUAGGGGCUGUGGUAGCCGAGUGGUGGUCGGAGACGACGCCUAUCACCGGAUAAUCGGAGGGGAAGAAGGUGAUCUAGGGUUCAAAAAGCCCCUUAUCUGCCGAAUUUGGAAAUUAAGGUGCGGGGUUGGCGCCGCUGUUCACUUGACGACGGUGGUAAUUGUAUCGAGAAGGAGACGAGAGGGGUGAGGCGAUUUCGCCGGUGGUUUGAACCAGAAUGAGUUUAAUUUGGGCUUGUAUUUCAUAGCCUCUAUCUGCAUUGUAUCAUCGAUUUGAGUUUGUGAUUUGUACUGUUUGUGUUUGCUGAUUGAGAAAGAUUUGUGUGAGGAAAAAGAGAAAUCGAGGGGUGUCUGGCUCAGUCGCCCAGCCGUUUCCGAUACCCUCGACCCUCGCCAAUCGUUCCCGUCGUUCCGCCGCCGCCUACGACUUCGCCCCGCAGCAGCCGCACCGCCUCCGAGCUCCAACAGGCGCUGCUGCUUCUUCUUCUUCCUCUCUUUUUUUUUUUUUUAAAUAAACAACUUUUUUUUAUCUUGGUUUGAGAAUUGAGCAAAAAAAAAAUGAAAUUAUGUACAGAUUUGAAAGUUGGUACAGAUCGGGUAUUUUAGGGUACUCGAAUACCCGACUCGGGUACCCGAGUCGGGUAUUAGGGUACCCGAGUCGGGUAUUAGGGUACCCGAUUUCAAUUUCGGGGUCAGGGUCGGGUAUAGGGUUUAGGGGAUUUUCGGGUUCGGGUACCCGAUUUUUUCGGGUAGGGUACCCGAACCCGACCCGAUUCCCAGCCCUAGUCAUUCGAAACUCAUGUGCUGCAUCGACUCCAUGUAUGUGUUUUAAUUGUUCAAGUUUAUGGCAGUUAUGAUGUGUUACAUGACAUAUUUUUUUAUGAUGCUUUCAUGUUCAAGUAUUACUACAUUUAGAUCCAUUAAAAAAAAGUGGGAAUUGUGAAAUUAUUUAGACGACACAGCUUGAUUAGAAAUUUUGAGGACAAAAUUAUUUUAAGUGGGAUAGGUUGUUACACCCCAAAUAUUUAGAUUUAUUAUAUAGGUUGAAUUAUUAGUAUUUUCUUUUAUAGCUUAUUUUUUUAGAUAAUUACAUGAUACAAAUAGAUAUGCAUCAUUAAUUUUUUUGUCUAGACUAUUAUUAUUAUUAUGAUUAUUAUUUUUAUUAUUAGAACUAGAAUUCUUUUAUUAUCUUUAUCUUUUAUCUUAUUAUGAGAUAUACACAGGAUACAAUCUUUAUAUUUAUCAAACUCUUUCAAAACUAGUAUAAAUAGAGACACGAUUUUACCCUAAGAACGCAGAACUCUAAGCCAAUAUUGAGAAUCGGUACCUUCCUUUCACUUAUUUUCUUUUACGCAAGGUUUUGUUAAAUUAACUUAGUUUGUUUCAAACUGUAAGUGUUCAAUUUUUUUAGUAGUUGUUAAUACUUAAUUUUUUUCCACUCGUGAAAAUCGAUGCUACAUCAGUACUCUUUCAACUUUCUUUCUUUUAAGUUUCAAUUAGUGGAUUAUGGCAAUCAAGUUUUUAAUCUGUUUUCAUAAAUUCGAAUAGCUUAUAGUUAGACUUCUAUUAGAAAUUUUAUAUAUAAUAUUUUUUUUUAACCACAUCAAAAGUGGUGGCUGCCGAAUUUUUAGUAGUUAACUAAGUUUUGAGAUUUAAUUGCUUUGGAUUAAAACUUUAACAUGUUUAUUGCUUUACUUUUAAAGCAAAAUAUUAUUUUAAUAAAAGAUAUUUUAGUUCCUUAAAAGUUUUCGACUACAGAAUCUUAUAUAUAUAUUUUUUCGUAUGCUUAAGAACUAAAAACUAAAAACGGCUGAAUUCUAUGUAGAACACGUAUGAAUUAGCUGUGUAACUGUAUGAAUUGCGAAAGGUCCUGAAUUCUAUGUAGAACACGUAUGAAUUGGCUUAAUUCAUACAGUUACACAGCUAAUUCAUACGUGUUCUACAUAGAAUUCAGCCGUUUUUAGUUUUUACAAAAAGAUGUGUUUUUAUUAUAGCCCACCCCUAUAUAUAUAUAUAUAUAUAUAUAUAUAUAUAUAUAUAUAUAUAUAUAUAUAUAUAUAGUAAUAAAAUAAAAAUUGGAUUUCAAAUUUGAGAAAGCUCAAAAUGUGUUUGAGAAGUUUGAGAAGCAAUAUAAUAGAUGAACAUGUUAGUACAUUUUGAUGAACAUGGUAAUUAGACACUAUAUAAAUAAAUUCUUUGAACAUACCAAAUACAACUGACGAACAUACGAAUCUAUUUAAUUUAUUAAAAAAUACGUCACCGCCAAUGAUCGAACCCCAGAUCAAACUCGUGUUCAUAAAAAUUAAUUGGCAUGUUCAUCUAUUAAAUUGCUUCCCAACUUCUCAACACAUAUGAGCUUCUCAAUAUAACCUAAUGUAGUGACCCGCUCUUUUAUUUUAAUUAAAUAUGGUAUCGCGAUAAUUAAUAUCGCAUCUUUCAGUAAAUAGAACCCAGUUACCAGUUAUAUAUGAAUCCAGUUUAUGAUCCUGAUUUUUUUUUAUCAGAGAUGGAGUAUUAUUUUAGCCGUAUGCUUUUGUAUGCAUGAGAAAAACGCGACGAGGAUUAUUGAGCUAUUCAAUAAUUAUUAUUUCCAAGUUAUAACUGACUUAGCAAAGUCAUGUUAUUUAUUAAUCGAGAAACAGAAGCAGUUAUAUUUUAUUGGUGCUACUAGAAGUCGAGGAAUUAUUCCGACUACAACGCAGAUUAAAUCUACGGAUUUAAUUUAAGUUAUAUCACAGUUUAUCAAGUUAUCAGGCAAGGAAAAAANAAAAAGAUAUCAAACAGAUACAGAAAUGCGAUGAUUAGAGAAUCGAAGCCAGUAUUUUAUUACAGUUCGCGAAUACAGUCUACUUCCCAGCUUGGAGAAAAUCGUUUAUCACAAAAGUUGUAGACCCCACGUGGCCCACUUUGCUGCCACUAGCUCAAGUUUGAGCAAAAUAGUCAAAAAAAAGAAAAGAAAAGAGAAAGGAAAGUCAAAAAGGGGGAGGGAAAUGUGUGCUGCAGAGAGAACAAAUUCUGCACUCCCUCUUCCCCUUGCAAAAGAAGCCAACCACCUGCUGCUCUCCAUCUUUUCAACCCUCGACAAAGAGGACUUUCAGCCACCCUAUCUAUGCUCAUCUUGCUAGCAUACUCAAGUAUGUAGCAACCAAUUUCCUCUUUUAGUAUCAACUUCCACCAGCAAAACAAUACUCACUCACAUCUCUUUUUUUUCACCCAAAAGUAUCGAAGAGUCCCAGCUUGUUUCUGCCAAGGUCUCAAGGUAACACCUGCUGAAAUGCUCCAUCUUCUUCCAUUUAUCUACCUGAAAUUAUUGAGACAACAACAUCAAUUUCUUUCAGUUCCAGUUCAUUCAACACACCAUAACCGAAAAACAAGAGAAUCACUCGUUCACUCCUUGCCAGAAACUUCAAGGUAAUCAUGCUAUCCUAUUAUCCAUACCAGUGAGCAUUCAUACCAAGCAUGAUCAUGAUCAGUUUCAUAAGCAUAGAAAACCGUAUAAUUAUCUUGAACUUACUAAGCACCCCAACUAUGCGAUCAUGAACAAGUGACAAUUCAUAUGAAGUUUUAAGCGAGCAUAAUUUGAGUCUAUGCAAAACAAGAAUAUUUGCACUCUGCCUAGUCCGAUUGAGUAUAGAUAGAAAUAGAAUUGAGUGGGGAAAAGACUUAGCUUUGAGAAGAAGGGCUGACUGCCCGAUGACGACGACGAUGGUCGGAACAGGGCGAACUCGCCCAACCUCAUCAGGGCCCCGAACAGCAGCAACGGUCCAAGGGCAGCAGCGGCGCGGUGAGAGGCGUAGGUGAAGGAAUAUUAAACUGAAUUAACGUUCCGCUUUGCCCGAUGAUCGUUUCUUGGAUUAUUAUUAAUUUAUCAUACAACGAUUAAUCCUAACAUGCUCCUAUGAAUUUAACAGCUGCACGUUGGAGUUCAGAAAUACCUGAAGAAUUCAGAAGAAUUCGCAGAUUCGCAUCUGAACAGACCAGUCAGCUUCAAGCCUUCGUUUGAAGCCUCAAACGUCCUCAAAUCGUAUUUCGCCCAGAAAUACGACUUCUUCGUCUUGAAGAGAGCUUUCCGUGGCCGCCUGAUUCGUCUGAAUCGGAGUUCUGUGGAGGAAGUUAUGGCCGUUUUACGGAGACUGCCAGAACUUGGUUUCCUGCGAAAAUCUGACUCCAGCUCUGAUCUUCUCGACUGUAUCCCGCUCAGCUUUCACCGUUGGAUGGACAACGAUCUAUGAAGUCCCAAGAGAGAANUAAGUCCCACACGUUUUUCUUCCCUGCGCCCCACAGCUCUCAAAACCCUAAUAUUUUAUCAGUGUGUUUUCCUGAGAGCUGACAGCUGUAUUUAAAUAAAAUUAAAUACGUGUGGGCACAGAAUUAGUGUAGGAGGCGUUUUUCUCUCCUUCUAGGGCUAGGAGACAUUGGGCCAGUCCAGGGACCAGAUACAAGGAAUAAAGAUGGGCCUCAAAUAAAUUAAUUUAUCUAUGGUCAGCCCAGACCAUAAUUAAUUUAUAAAUAUCAGUUCAUUCCACUAGAGAACCGAUACUGACUUACCCCUUUAUUGCCGGUGAUGAGUCGGGGGCUUGUAUUUAGACUUAUUAAAUCUCCGUAUUUAAAAUAUCCGACAUCCAUUAAUUAAUUAGAGCUCUGACAGCUUAAAUUAAUUAAUCUCUUAAUAAUUCCUUAAGCAGUACCACUCAAACUUUAUUAUUGCGCCUGAACUUAAUCAACCUGCAGGGUUUAGCGCAAUAAACCUUAUUGAGCUCCUUAAGGGGAUGUCAUUAUCCUAUACCGGAUACGGGUACUAAUACAGAUAAUCAAAUAUCAUAUAUUAACCGCUAUCACCCAAGAUACAGAGUACUCGAGUUAGUAUAUAACUUUCACCCAUAGUAAGUCAAAGUGAUAUACGAAUUAACAUAUAUAUCUGAAUACUUAUUAGUAUUAAGAUUUAUAAGUCACCGAGAUCUUGAUUCUUCACUUAAGUCAGAUAGAAGAAUACAUCUCAACUGUGGUCCUAUCAAUACGUAAUGACGUACCAGUAUAGACAAGUAGCCAAGACAAACUACUUCCAUCUAUACUGCAGCCUAAACCAAUAACUUGUCCUAGAGUUAUUUCGGCUGUGAUCAUAUUAUUUAUUCUUAAGGUUAUUCCAAUUAUAUGGUCUUCUGUGAUCUACAACACACCAUAUAAUCUACUUAUAUAGAGAUAAAGAACAUACAUAUGCAAUCAUGAACACAAUCAGAUAGAAGAUUAGAUAGUGAACUUAGGAAACAUUGUAUACAAGCAUAAAACGUUCUUACUUUCAGUAUACAAAUCCAACAGUAGGCCUUCUUACUCCAGUCGCCAGAGUCCAGACAAGGACGAUUCAGACCCAUGGCUCGAUUUGGGCUCUGUGAAGGAGAGAGAGGACGUCGCCGAGGUUCGAUGCGUCGACAGACGACGUCGGCCGAAGCAAGUGAUAGCUGGACCGCCGGUGAAGGUGGAACCGAUCGGAUUUUGAGGGGCGCCGAGCGAGCAGGCUGGAGAGGAAGGGGCGAGCGGCUCCUUGAGAGAGAGAGAAAAGGGAAGAACCGAGAGUUGAGAGAGAAAUUUGGGCUUCCAUCCCUUAAAUAUUUAAGUGGGCCUUGUUUUAGCAAAUGGACCCCUAUUUUAAUUGUUUUGGGCCAGACUUUUAAGUUGGGUUUUGAAUUCUUUAAGUUUGGGCUUAAUUUUAUUUAAUUGUUUGGGCUUUCACAUUUAAAUUCGAACUGGGCCAGUCUUUUAUUUAAGUGGCCCUUCUCAUUAUUUCUAUUGGGCUUGAAUUAAUUUAAGGAGUUGGGCCGAUGCAUAUUUUAUGAUGGGCUAUUAUUCUAAUCCCAUUUAUAUUUCGUUUGGCCAGUUUAAUUCAUCAGUUGGGCCGAUUCUUAUUCAGUAAAUGAGCCGCCCAGUUUAUUAAUUAUUGUUUUGGACUUCAGAUUUAAAGCGAGCUAUCAUUGUUUAUUUCAUUAAAGCCACUGGUUUACUUAAUUAAUUGGCUACUCUCUUCUGAGCCUAUUAAUUAUUUGAGAUUACAUUAGUAAAUUAUGUUUCUAUCGAAAAGCCCGAUAAUUUCUACAAGGUCACACCUCGAUUAAAGCCGAGUUAGUUCUUUAUUUUCGAUCGAGUACAAAUGCGAGGUUUAUUUCACAGCUAGAAUAUUCUGAGGAGGAAGGAAGAAUCACAGCUCUUUUCGACCGCGUUAGACGAGAAUUAGCUAAAUCUAUUAACGAGGAUCAAUAGUAGAAUUCCCGAUUAUCGCUCAGAAGAUUAGUUCAUGCAUACGAGAUUCAUGCAUAGUUACAUUACGCUUUCUCAUUAAUUGAGAAUUUUCCUCGAAGCAAUGUCUUAUUUUAUAUUCUCGUGAUUAAGGUCAAGCGCGAGAGUAAGAACUAUUCAAGGAGUCACAGUACCUUAGCAAAACCUUGCUAUCAGGUGGGCAAUUUCUUACGCGUAAUAAAAAUGCUAUGAAAGACUAUGCAAGUGUGCUAUGCUUUAUUACGCUUAAUUGAGUUAAGCUUUAUUAUGCUUCACGCUAAAUGAUUUACGCUAUGCUGUUUAUGCUACUUACGCCUUAUGUGAUUUACGCUUAUUUACGCUUGAAUGCUUUACGCUAUUAAGUUGAUGCCUGUGUUUGAUGCUUGGGGGAGGCCUCCCUCAACAGUACGAUGCCGUGUCCGCUGAGGAGGGCCUUCCUCACGGCGCGAUGCCCGUGUCCGCUGAGGGAGGCCUCCCUCGCGGCGCGAUGCCAGUAUGCCAGUAUACCAGUGUUACAGCGUCUAUUGGGGGAGGCCUCCCUCAAUAGUACGAUGCCGUGACCGCUGAGGGAGGCCCCUCUCACGGCGCGAUGCCCGUGUUCGUUGGGGAAGGCCUUCUCCACGACACGAUGCUUGUUUAUGAUUAUUGAUGAUGAUGAAGGAUGCCCUCAUGCUAUUUAUGAAUUUGGAUAUGUCUAAUGAGCAAAGGAUUUGAAAGAAAUUUAUGCCUCUUAUGCGAAGCGUGUUUAUGAUUGUUAUUGAUGUUAAGUUUAUGCUUUAGUUUUGGCAACUGCCCACUAAGUACUCUUGUACUUAGCCCUACGUAUGUUUAUGUUUGUGCAGGUUGAGCUGUGAUG